AACGAACGCUGGCGGCAUGCCUAACACAUGCAAGUCGAACGAGACCUUCGGGUCUAGUGGCGCACGGGUGCGUAACGCGUGGGAACCUGCCCUUAGGUUCGGAAUAACUCCCCGCAAGGGGUGCUAAUACCGGAUAAUGUCUUCGGACCAAAGAUUUCUCGCCUUUGGAUGGGCCCGCGUUGGAUUAGCUAGUUGGUAGAGUAAAAGCCUACCAAGGCGACGAUCCGUAGCUGGUCUGAGAGGAUGAUCAGCCACACUGGGACUGAGACACGGCCCAGACUCCUACGGGAAGAAGCAGUGGGGAAUAUUGGAAAAUGGGCGAAAGCGGGAUCCAGCAAUGCCGCGUGAGUGAUGAAGGCCUUAGGGUUGUAAAGCUCUUUUAGCCGGGAUGAUAAUGACAGUACCGGGAGAAUAAGCUCCGGCUAACUCCGUG
rnacentral:rRNA from 1 species